rnacentral:rRNA from 1 species
ACGUACACUCCUGCGGGAGGCAGCAGUGGGGAAUAUUGGACAAUGGGCGCAAGCCUGAUCCAGCCAUGCCGCGUGAGUGAUGAAGGCCCUAGGGUUGUAAAGCUCUUUCACCGGUGAAGAUAGUGACGGUAACCGGAGAAGAAGCCCCGGCUAACUUCGUGCCAGCAGCCGCGGUAAUACGAAGGGGGCUAGCGUUGUUCGGAUUUACUGGGCGUAAAGCGCACGUAGGCGGACUAUUAAGUCAGGGGUGAAAUCCCGGGGCUCAACCCCGGAACUGGCUUUGAUACUGGUAGUCUUGAGUUCGAGAGAGGUGAGUGGAAUUCCGAGUGUAGAGGUGAAAUUCGUAGAUAUUCGGAGGAACACCAGUGGCGAAGGCGGCUCACUGGCUCGAUACUGACGCUGAGGUGCGAAAGCGUGGGGAGCAAACAGGAUUAGAUACCCCGGUAGUCCCAUGAU